GACGAACGCUGGCGGCGUGCUUAACACAUGCAAGUCGAGCGGUAAGGCCCUUUCGGGGGUACACGAGCGGCGAACGGGUGAGUAACACGUGGGUGACCUGCCCUCAGCUCUGGGAUAAGCCCGGGAAACUGGGUCUAAUACCGGAUAUGACUUCAUGACGCAUGUUGUGGAGUGGAAAGCCUUGUGCGGCUGAGGAUGGGCCCGCGGCCUAUCAGCUUGUUGGUGGGGNGAUGGCCUACCAAGGCGACGACGGGUAGCCGGCCUGAGAGGGCGACCGGCCACACUGGGACUGAGAUACGGCCCAGACUCCUACGGGAGGCAGCAGUGGGGAAUCUUGCGCAAUGGGCGAAAGCCUGACGCAGCGACGCCGCGUG
rnacentral:rRNA from 1 species